GGUCCAGCCGGCAGGUAAAGCAGCGCUCAGCCUGGCCCACAGCCACCCUGCUGCUGGGGAGGAUUGGGGGGACCCGCUGCCAGCCCUUGGGGGGCAACGAGUGCCGGGACAUUGCUCACAGACCUGCUCCACGUCCGUCUUUUUUGGGGGGAAACCGCAGCUGAGGAGGCUCCGCAGGGCCUUGUUGUCUUCAAACGGUAACGGCAGGGGAAGGCGUUUCUGAGCACCAUGAUGUCCCUGGGUGUCAGUAAAGGAGGUUACAUCCCACCCACAGAUGAGGACCGCAGGAGAAUCAUUAAGCAGAUGAAGGUUCGUACCACCCUGAAAGGAGAUAAGAGCUGGAUCCACCACCAUAACUCAGACUCUGAGGAUGAGAAGAAGAGCAGCCCGACGUCUGGACGGGCCGGUGGAGGUUCCCCAGCCUCAAAACCUACUGCUCCCCAGAACGACAGGU